rnacentral:rRNA from 1 species
GACGAACGCUGGCGGCGUGCUUAACACAUGCAAGUCGAACGGAAAGGCCCUGCUUUUGUGGGGUGCUCGAGUGGCGAACGGGUGAGUAACACGUGAGUAACCUGCCCUUGACUUUGGGAUAACUUCAGGAAACUGGGUCUAAUACCUGAUAGGAGCUCCUGCUGCAUGGUGGGGGUUGGAAAGUUUCGGCGGUUGGGGCUGGACUCGCGGCUUAUCAGCUUGUUGGUGGGGUAGUGGCUUACCAAGGCUUUGACGGGUAGCCGGCCUGAGAGGGUGACCGGCCACAAUGGGACUGAGAGACGGCCCAGACUGCUACGGGAGGCAGCAGUGGGGAAUAUUGCACAAUGGGCGGAAGCCUGAUGCAGCAACGCCGCGUGCGGGAUGACGGCCUUCGGGUUGUAAACCGCUUUCGCCUGUGACGAAGCGUGAGUGACGGUAAUGGGUAAAGAAGCACCGGCUAACUACGUG